rnacentral:rRNA from 1 species
ACGAACGCUGGCGGCGUGCUUAACACAUGCAAGUCGAACGGAAAGGCCCUGCUUUUGUGGGGUGCUCGAGUGGCGAACGGGUGAGUAACACGUGAGUAACCUGCCCUUGACUUUGGGAUAACUUCAGGAAACUGGGGCUAAUACCGGAUAGGAGCUCCUGCUGCAUGGUGGGGGUUGGAAAGUUUCGGCGGUUGGGGAUGGACUCGCGGCUUAUCAGCUUGUUGGUGGGGUAGUGGCUUACCAAGGCUUUGACGGGUAGCCGGCCUGAGAGGGUGACCGGCCACAUUGGGACUGAGAUACGGCCCAGACUCCUACGGGAGGCAGCAGUGGGGAAUAUUGCACAAUGGGCGGAAGCCUGAUGCAGCAACGCCGCGUGCGGGAUGACGGCCUUCGGGUUGUAAACCGCUUUCGCCUGUGACGAAGCGUGAGUGACGGUAAUGGGUAAAGAAGCACCGGCUAACUACGUGCCAGCAGCCGCGGUGAUACGUAGGGUGCGAGCGUUGUCCGGAUUUAUUGGGCGUAAAGGGCUCGUAGGUGGUUAAUCGCGUCGGAAGUGUAAUCUUGGGGCUUAACCCUGAGCGUGCUUUCGAUACGGGUUGACUUGAGGAAGGUAGGGGAGAAUGGAAUUCCUGGUGGAGCGGUGGAAUGCGCAGAUAUCAGGAGGAACACCAGUGGCGAAGGCGGUUCUCUGGGCCUUUCCUGACGCUGAGGAGCGAAAGCGUGGGGAGCGAACAGGCUUAGAUACCCUGGUAGUCCACGCUGUAAACGGUGGGUACUAGGUGUGGGGUCCAUUCCACGGGUUCCGUGCCGUAGCUAACGCUUUAAGUACCCCGCCUGGGGAGUACGGCCGCAAGGCUAAAACUCAAAGGAAUUGACGGGGCCCCGCACAAGCGGCGGAGCAUGCGGAUUAAUUCGAUGCAACGCGUAGAACCUUACCUGGGUUUGACAUGGAUCGGGAGUGCUCAGAGAUGGGUGUGCCUCUUUUGGGGUCGGUUCACAGGUGGUGCAUGGCUGUCGUCAGCUCGUGUCGUGAGAUGUUGGGUUAAGUCCCGCAACGAGCGCAACCCUUGUUCACUGUUGCCAGCACGUUAUGGUGGGGACUCAGUGGAGACCGCCGGGGUCAACUCGGAGGAAGGUGGGGAUGACGUCAAGUCAUCAUGCCCCUUAUGUCCAGGGCUUCACGCAUGCUACAAUGGCUGGUACAGAGAGUGGCGAGCCUGUGAGGGUGAGCGAAUCUCGGAAAGCCGGUCUCAGUUCGGAUUGGGGUCUGCAACUCGACCUCAUGAAGUCGGAGUCGCUAGUAAUCGCAGAUCAGCAACGCUGCGGUGAAUACGUUCCCGGGGCUUGUACACACCGCCCGUCAAGUCAUGAAAGUUGGUAACACCCGAAGCCGGUGGCCUAACCGUUGUGGGGGAGCCGUCGAAGGUGGGACUG